UACGUAAGGACCGAGCGUUGUCCGGAAUCAUUGGGCGUAAAGGGUACGUAGGCGGCUAGAAAAGUUAGAAGUCAAAGGCUAUAGCUCAACUAUAGUAAGCUUCUAAAACUAUUUAGCUUGAGAAAUGGAAGGGAAAGUGGAAUUCCUAGUAUAGCGGUGGAAUGCGCAGAUAUUAGGAAGAAUACCGGUGGCGAAGGCGACUUUCUGGCCAUUAUCUGACGCUGAGGUACGAAAGCGUGGGUAGCAAACAGGAUUAGAAACCCGCGAGUCC
rnacentral:rRNA from 1 species